rnacentral:misc_RNA from 1 species
AAGUCGUAACAAGGUUUCCGUAGGUGAACCUGCGGAAGGAUCAUUAUUGAAUUUAUAAGGCUUUUGGCUGUGCUGGCCCCUCGGGGCAUGUGCACGUCUACUGCCCGUUAAAUACCGAUCCAACCCCUGUGAACCUAACCGUGGGACGCUCUGUGAUGGAGCCGUCCCAUGUUUUAUCAUAAAACACUGUAUGUCUUCUAGAAUGUAAAUCUAUACCCUCGCCCUAAAAAAGCGUUGAUAAAAAAUUAAUACAA